rnacentral:rRNA from 1 species
UCUGACGGAGCACGCCGCGUGAGUGAUGAAGGCUUUCGGGUCGUAAAACUCUGUUGUUAGGGAAGAACAAGUGCUAGUUGAAUAAGCUGGCACCUUGACGGUACCUAACCAGAAAGCCACGGCUAACUACGUGCCAGCAGCCGCGGUAAUACGUAGGUGGCAAGCGUUAUCCGGAAUUAUUGGGCGUAAAGCGCGCGCAGGUGGUUUCUUAAGUCUGAUGUGAAAGCCCACGGCUCAACCGUGGAGGGUCAUUGGAAACUGGGAGACUUGAGUGCAGAAGAGGAAAGUGGAAUUCCAUGUGUAGCGGUGAAAUGCGUAGAGAUAUGGAGGAACACCAGUGGCGAAGGCGACUUUCUGGUCUGUAACUGACACUGAGGCGCGAAAGCGUGGGGAGCAAACAGGAUUAGAUACCCUGGUAGUCCACGCCGUAAACGAUGAGUGCUAAGUGUUAGAGGGUUUCCGCCCUUUAGUGCUGAAGUUAACGCAUUAAGCACUCCGCCUGGGGAGUACGGCCGCAAGGCUGAAACUCAAGNUUUUCGGGGGGGAA